CCGCGAUCCGGCCCGGGUUUUGCAUGCCACCCACUCGCCCGCUCGGCCGCGGAGAAUUCCAUAAUCACAGCGGGCGAGAGCGGAGACUGGGAGCGAAAAAUCCGGGAUCCGGCAACUUUGGGCAGCGCAUGCGCGCCCGCGGCGCUCCAUCCCAAACACACACACAUUUUUCCCCCGGACUUGGAAAGUCACCCAAAGCCGCCCCAAGUGCAGGCACACAGACCUUGGUGACAGAAGACAAAGAUCCCAUUGGCCCUUCCAGCUGCCCUGGCCACCAACCCCUCCUUCACAGGGGGGUCCUGCAACUCCCAGGUGGUGCGUGUUGGAAUGGACUUCAGACCCCAGCCUCUUGGGAUGCAAAGGAUGAAGUGACACCCCAUCAGCAUCUGAGGCACCUCUAGGACCCGUUAGGAGGUAAGGCAUGCACCUUCUCCAUAAUCCUGUGUCUUCUCUCCUGCUGGUGACCACUCGCAUGC
rnacentral:lncRNA from 1 species